AGAGUUUGAUCCUGGCUCAGGAUGAACGCUGGCGGCGUGGAUAAGGCAUGCAAGUCGAGGGACCGAGCACCACUUUGGACGGUUACGAAGGUAAUUAUUGGAUGGGUAAAUUUUUAUUUAUUCUCUGAUGAUCUUACUGACGUAAGUUUUUAAAGUGGUGCUCGGGACCGGCAGACGAGGUAGUAACACGUAGGAAUGAACCCAGAAGUCAGGAAUAGCCCAUCGAAAGGUGGAUUAAUACCUGAUAGUCCGAGCAUCAUUUUGGUGCUUGGUAAAGCUCCGGCGCUUCUGGAUCGGCCUGCGGGCUAUCAGCUAGUUGGUAGGGUAAUUGCCUACCAAGGCUAUGACGGCUAGGGGAGCUGAGAGGCUGACCCCCACCGAUGGAACUGAGACACGGUCCAUACACCUACGGGUGGCCGCAGUCGAGAAUCUUCCGCAAUGGGCGAAAGCCUGACGGAGCGACGCCGCGUGGUAGAUGAAGCUCUUCGGAGUGUAAAUACCUUUUCUGGAGGAGGAAGCCAUACUCGAACGUACUUCGGUACGGGCGGGUCUAUUGACGUUACUCCAGGAAUAAGGGGUUGCUAAACUCGUGCCAGCAGCAGCGGUAAUACGAGUGCCCCAAGCGUUAUCCGGAAUUAUUGGGCGUAAAGGGUGUGUAGGUGGAUAUGUUAGUCUUUUGUUAAAUUCUUCGGCUUAACCGAAGAGCUGCAGAGGAAACGGCAUAUCUAGAGGGCGCGAGAGGUUUGUAGAACUCAUGGAGUAGGGGUGAAAUCCGUUGAUAUCAUGGGGAAUACCAAAAGCGAAGGCAGCAAACUAGCGCGCUCCUGACACUGAGACACGAAAGCCAAGGCAGUGAACGGGAUUAGAUACCCCGGUAAUCUUGGCCCUAAACGAUGUUCUCUAGCUUCUCGAAGUAUCGACCCUUUGGGAGGCGCAGCUAACGCGUUAAGAGAACCGCCUGGGUAGUACGAGCGCAAGCUUAAAACUCAAAGGAAUAGACGGGGACUCGCACAAGCAGUGGAUCAUGUGGUUUAAUUCGACGAUAAGCGAAGAACCUUACCAGGGUUUGAAACCUAACUGAACUCUUUGAGAAAUCAGAGGGGCCUCACAAGGGCAGUUAGGCAGGUGAUGCAUGGCCGUCGUCAGUUCGUGGCUUGAGCUGUUCCCUUAAGUGGGGUAACGAACGCAACCCUCAUCGUCUGUUACAAGUGUCAGACGAGACUGCCCCGCCCAAAUUUUUCGAGUAUAAACUUUACAAACAUUAACAAAAUAUUUUUUGUUUGUUAGUUUCAGUUGAUUUUUUAAUAAGUAACUGAUAAUUCGAAAAACUUGGGCGGGGAGGAAGGGGAGGAUGACGCCAGGUCAGCAUGUCCCUUUGACAUCCUGGGCUACACACAUGAUACAAUGGCGAUCACAACGGGACGCAAUGAGGAAACUCGGAGCCAAUCCUUAUAAAAGUCGCCUUAGUUCGGAUUGAGGUCUGCAACUCGACCUCAUGAAGUUGGAAUUGCUAGUAAUCGCGGAUCAGCUACGCCGCGGUGAAUACGUUCUCGAGUCUUGUACUCACCGCCCGUCAACUCAAGGGAACUGGGAGUACCCGAAGUCCCCCGCCUAAAUUUUCAAGCCUUGCUUGAAAACUUGGGCGGGGGCCGAAGGUAAGCUCAGUAACA
rnacentral:rRNA from 1 species